UACGUAGGGUGCAGGCGCUAAUCGGAAUUACUGGGCGUAAAGCGUGCGCAGGCGGUCUUUUAAGUCAGAUGUGAAAUCCCCGGGCUUAACCUGGGAACUGCGUUUGAAACUGGAAGGCUUGAGUGUGGCAGAGGGGGGUGGAAUUCCACGUGUAGCAGUGAAAUGCGUAGAGAUGUGGAGGAACACCGAUGGCGAAGGCAGCCCCCUGGGCUAACACUGACGCUCAUGCACGAAAGCGUGGGGAGCAAACAGG
rnacentral:rRNA from 1 species